GCGGGGCAGGAGCGCGGCCGGCGGGCUCGCUGUGCACCUGCGGAAGACGCGGGGCUCCCGCCAGGGGCGCGGUGAAAAAGGCGGAAACGGACGUUGGUCUGACUGCCGGGCACAGCCUCCUGCCUCCUCUUCUGGACGGACGAACAGCUGUCCACAGCUCCUUUUAUCAGUAGGGUGGAGUUUCCUGAACGCAGAAGCCGAUGUAAAAAACCAGCUGUCUUACUCUGAGACAUUUCAUCACUUCUUUGAAAUGAAUGGACGAAUGACGUUUGAACCUUUCUGCUCCUGAGUGGAAACUCAGAGACAGAGCGCCUGCAGGAAUAUGGAAAAGCUCCUCGGAGUGAAGUGUGCACGCACAGGACCUCCAACUCCUAAUUGUCUGUGACAAGGCUGAUGUAGAUGCUCAGCUCCCUCUAGCCUGAGGGCUGCUGAUUCUUCUCUUCUCUCUCCUGGACACUCACUGGGUCAGGAAGAGGAGGUGAGCUUUGCAGAGUGACGGAGCCCCUCCCAGAACAGGUAGUUAAAGACUCUGCCUGGAGAGGAAGCAUCCUGGUUGUACCCAGACCUAUGAACACCUGCUCCGGCCAGGGUGUGUUUCCACGUCAACCGUGUGUACUCAUCCUGGAUUAACCUGGUGAAAAGGGGAAUCAGAACUGUGAUCUCUACUCUCUGAGUUAGGAAAAAAGAAAACAAAACAAAACUGGGACAGAAUAUGGCAUCGAAAACCAUGAAAGA